rnacentral:lncRNA from 1 species
UAUGUUAGAACUAAAUUGGUAGAAGAUAAAAUUUAUAAAUUUCUUAAAAGUUAAGGGUAAAAUACGUAAAAUUAGUUUGUUAAAAAUAAAAUUUAAAAAAAAUUAAAGAUAAAAAAUGCAAGCAUAAAUAUAUACAUACGCUUUAAUAUAAAUUUAUGGGUGGAAUUAUUUAGAUGUGAAAAUUUAUCUCAGACUCUAGAAUAAGGAGGCCAUAAUUAUUUUCGAAAGAGGCUUUGAUAUUUCGCUCCAGAAUCCUCACCUCCGGCACAAAAUAGUCAAAUAUACACCAAUGACGAUGUACAAGGAAAGAAACUUGUAUUAGGGUCAUAAUCUUAAUGCUCAUAAUCAUAUUUAAUGAGUCUUUAUAUAUUUGAACUUAAAUUUAUUUUCAUGUAUUAAUUGAAUAAAAUAUAUUUUCCAUUCAAUGUGUUUUUUCUAAAAAUUAAUAAAUAAAAACGGCAUUUCAGU